AUUUGCUCAAGCUUCGUUUUUCUUCACUCAACUAGCUUCUUCACUAGACCGGCUAACUAUGGCAAGUGGAAGUUCUUCUCGCCGUGGUGGCGGCAGCCAUGGAGGUGGCAGCCGUGGUGGUGGCGGCCGUGGACACUACAUUUUCGAGGAGUCACCAUUAGCUCAUCCUUCAUGAAUUCACUUUCCUAAUCGUGUCAUUGACUUGCCAAAAGGCGUUCGAAGCGGAGGAAUAAUUCCCAACGUAGUAAUAUUCUUUCCUUCUUGUAAUUGAUUUUUUACUACACAUGAAUAAUUUAUAAAUUUACUUACAUACAACUAGCUUAUCGACAAUAUUAGAUGGCUGAAAGAUGUUGUCGAAGCUCUAGGUGGUACUUUUUCUUUAGUGCAAUCUGAGAUAGUUGGUCCACGGAAUUUUAAAAGAGUAAAAAUCUCUUUUCAAGUAUCUGUUCGAGAAACACAGGCCAACCGGAUGAGAGUACCAGGACAGCCAAUCCUGAUAGUUUCAAUUACCAUACGGGGUCAAUUAGCACUAAGUAGGGUACAAAGGACCGCCGUGGAGACUUGCCUACAACAACUUAAGGAUCAUGGGUACUUUGUGCCAGACUUCUCAUAUUUUCGAGGAGGGAGAAAGCAAUGUGACUAGGACUACUGAGAGGCUUUGUCAGCUGAAUCAACAUGGAUGUCUUUGGUCAAACCUUGGCGGCAAUGAGCUUUCAUGCGAUUCUAGCUCAAGUCUUGGAUGUGUUGAAUUAUAGUUACAUCGAUAGAAACCUGAUACGCACCAGAGAUUUCAAGCUCUAGUCUCAUCUCACUUUCUAUAGGUCAUUUCAGUUGACGUCGUCUCCAUUGUUCGAGAUUUAUGGUAGUGCAUGUGACCGUCCUUGUGAAGCGCUGGAGAGUGCACUAAUUCAUGCUGUAGCUUAUAUCGAUGAAGUUCUAAGCUUUACGAUUGGAGACUUAAGCUAUGUGGCAUACCUAAAUAAGCAAAGCGAAUUACUAAAUGUGUAGCAUGCAUGGAUGUACU